CUGCCCGUAGCUCAGUUGGAUAGAGCAUCAGCCUUCUAAGCUGGCGGUCACAGGUUCGAAUCCUGUCGGGCAGGCCA
rnacentral:tRNA from 1 species